GAUGAACGCUGGCGGCGUGCCUAAUACAUGCAAGUCGAGCGAACGGACGAGAAGCUUGCUUUUCUGAUGUUAGCGGCGGACGGGUGAGUAACACGUGGAUAACCUACCUAUAAGACUGGGAUAACUUCGGGAAACCGGAGCUAAUACCGGAUAAUAUUUUGAACCGCAUGGUUCAAAAGUGAAAGACGGUCUUGCUGCCACUUAUAGAUGGAUCCGCGCUGCAUUAGCUAGUUGGUAAGGUAACGGCUUACCAAGGCAACGAUGCAUAGCCGACCUGAGAGGGUGAUCGGCCACACUGGAACUGAGACACGGUCCAGACUCCUACGGGAGGCAGCAGUAGGGAAUCUUCCGCAAUGGGCGAAGGCCUGACGGAGCAACGCCGCGUGAGUGAUGAAGGUCUUCGGAUCGUAAAACUCUGUUAUUAGGGAAGAACAUAUGUGUAAGUAACUGUGCACAUCUUGACGGUACCUAAUCAGAAAGCCACGGCUAACUACGUG
rnacentral:rRNA from 1 species